AUUCCUGCUGCGGGGAUAAAGGAGGUCAAGUUUUACGGACACACCUCCAAAAAAAGCCCAAAAAACCAGUCUGUUUCUGGGCGGUUAAUGAUUUAAAUUAAAAACGCUGCAGCCACUGGAUGAAAGCAAAUAGGAAACAUCAACAACCUCUGAGCAGCACCCUACCACACUGAAAAGUUCUGCAGAGGAUUUGGAUUGUGCAGUCCCCUGUUGUCUCGCCUGCAGUUGACUGGAUGAGGGCUGUUGGGCUUUGUCCCUUCUGAUAUUCUGCCAGAGCUGUGAUGGGGUGAAAUUUAUCAACCCGGCAACAUGCCAGGUGGAAGCUGAAUUAGUGAGGAUGACUCCUGCUCCUGUCAUCUCUAAGCUCCUCACACAUCUUUACCUGCACAUGAGGAAAAUCACUCCUGUAGAAUGCAGUGGUUCAUCAGAACCUCUGGGGAUGUCCUGUGGAUUCUGUGGAUCCUGUGGGUUGCAGGGUGGAUCCUACCUAGACCAGGCUGAUCCUGGACCAUCCCACAGAUGCUCCAUCAGAUCUGGAUGUGGGGAGUGUGGAACCCAGAUGUUCAGAGGGAGAUGAUGCCACAUCUGGUCCAGCUGAUGGAAGGUCUUGAAGUUCUCUGACUGGCCUCGACUGAAGAUGGUCGUCUCACUGGAUUUAAGGUUCAGAUGCUCAGUAACAAACUCCACCAAUGAGCCAACAGGGAAGCUUUAGGUUUAUUAAAUGUUGCUAUGAAGGUUUCACUGUUUUUCUUUGUGAAUGCAAUGUGCUCCAACUCAAACUUGAAUUAGAACUUAGAAGUAAAUCCUUCCAUCUGAAAGGAUUUAGUUGCAUUAAUAACCUCAUAACAUUCUAAUUUUUCUUCCAGUCUUGGUUGGAAAUAGAAUCUCUGUAUUGAUUCAGGUAAAAACUGAACUUCACAGCAUGUUGGAGCAACACAACCAGAUGAAAACUGUGAUGGUGUUGGAUUGUCAGACCGUAAUGUUGCAGCUCAAAGCAGCUUUUCUAUCUCAGUUCAUUCUGACAUUCAGCUAUGAAUCAACACAGCAGAUGGUGAUCCAUGCUGUGGAAGUCUCACAUCUCCUGAUUUAAUGGAGCUGCUUUGCACUUUUUACACUGUUUAUUCACCAACACUUUAUUUAAUAAAAGUCCCAUCUAGUUUUUAUGAGGAAUGUGAUGUUUUAAUUUCUCUGUGAAUAACUGCAGUCUAAUGCAACAGCUGGAGUUGUAACAUCUGUCCUGAUAUUGAUCAUGAAGUAUUGAUCAGAAUACUUAUGGUCAGCAGUCAUCCCUGAAGUUUUACAUUAAAAUCUUUACUUGUGUUGUGAACUUUGGUAAGAAGCAGAAACGUUAGCGUUGCCAUGGAUACAUGAGUGUUAAAUUCUGUCCAUGUUUCCAUUUUGGGAAAUUCAGUCCAGUUCCAGAAUGUGUAGGAAUUUAGUCUCACAGUCACAGACAACAAAUAUUAUCUGAAAGUCGGGUUAUUGUUGUUUAUCAGCACAAUACAAAAAGAUUAGUGUUAGAAAUAUUCCAGUUAAGACUCUAGAAUGUCAUGAUUUAUGUAAAUUUACCUCAAUAAUAUGAAUGUUCAGGUUAAGAUUGUACAGUGAUAUUUAUUAUGUAAGUUUAGCUGAUUAAAGUUUAUGACUCUGCACUGAAAUAUUAUUUAAAUUGACAUCAUUAUUAUAAUAUUUAGGGUCAGACCCUACAGUAUUGAGAUUAAGAAAUCAAAUAUUCUAUAAAAUGUAAAUACACUGAACUCAUUUGGAUAUAUUUAAGUGAGACUCUACAAUAUUAUUUGACACAAAUCUAUCUAAAUCAAAAUUUUAAUAAUUUUCACGCCAAACAUUUACUGGACUGAUUUAAAUAUUAAAAUCACUCCUUUCUAAUCCUCUGCUGUACGUUCAAACCUGAGGCCUUAAAUAGAAACACAAGUAUCUGAUUGAAGGAACUUCUGCAGAGUCCUGGUUCCAGAACAUGAUGAUAGAAUUAUAGACAAACUUUAACAAAAGCUGCCUGAGAGUUUACAGGUUUUUAUGUUGGAUUUCUUCAGUAAUUUAAUGAGAGUUAUCAGCAAAAAUCAAGUGUUCAUUUGAUGAACUUGAUUUCCUAAAACAUACAGAAUUGGAGCUCAUAUCUUUGGCAGCUGUAAAGUUUCUGCUCCUUCAAAGUUCACAACACAAUGAAUGAAUUCCUAAAACACUCUCAAUGCUGGAGAGCGUUUGUGAUGCUGAAGCAGUGAUCAGUUUUUCUGUUUCUUCUCUGGAGAUGCACAAUGAGGGACGUCUGCAGAGACUGAGAAAGAGUCUCACCACAUCCUGACAUGAGGAAAAAGACUUCAUUGAAGACUACAAUGAGAAAAACUAUCAGACAGCAGACGGCUGCAUUCAAGUCUGUAGCUGCUGAAUUCAUGGAUGAAUCAUCUGGCACUAGAGAAGACCAUCAAACAUCCACGUCAGCUGAUGGAGGUCCAAGAGUGUCAACAAACAAAUAACCUACAGAGUGAAGACCUCAAAUCUGAUUGGACGGCCUCCUAUUCAGCCACAUGUGUGAACAAAUGCCUCUAAGCUGAUUUGUUUUCUAAAAUAAAUCUAGUUUGAGUCCUAAUCUAUGCCUGUGUGUUUGCUUCUUUACACUGCUGUUAACAGUUUAGGCUGUUAGAUUGUUCCAGAUAAGACAAGUACAAGAUUCUUCAGAGCCGUUCUACCACGAGCCUGACAGGAAGAACUCCAACAGCUACUGAAUGUUCCUGUGGUCCCCUCAAGGCUACAGGAGGAGUCCUACGAGGACGAGCCGGUCCACCUGAUGGCGGCCAGUCGCUGCGGUUCAAAGCCAACACCGACUACGUGGACUUCUACUGGACCACACGGAGGCCUUCAAACCGGACCAACAAGUUCACCGACUCCCCGACUCGUGGGUCUGAGGACGCCGCCGAGCCUCGGCCCAGCCGGCCGCCUGUCUGUGGGUGUUUGAGUGCUGAGAGGUUUGUGGAUGCAUGUGAACGUUCUGUGUUGAAACAGCAGCUUUGGACUCAGUAACGCUGGGAAAAACCAAGAGCUCCUUUAUUUGUGACUUCCACUAAAAAAACUGAUGAAAAUAAGUUUGCCAGGGUUCUGACUGAUAACAGAUUAUUAAAUAAUGAAAAUAAUCAGUUUAAAUAUUCCUUUAAACAAUCCUUUUAGGUCUACAUUUCCUUUACACUGACUUCUUGGUAUAUGUACAAGUAUUUUGGGUGGAAUAUACCAUUAAGCCUAAUGUUCAAGGGUUCUUCUGGGAAUAUACCAUUAAACCAACCUUUUAGGUAAAUGUUCCAGGAUGUUGGGUAGAAUAUACCAUCAGAUCAACCUUUUAGGUCUACACUGGAAGAUUUUAGAGUAGAAUAUUACUCCAAACCAUCCUUUAGGUCUACAUUUAAGGUGGAAUACUCCUUUACACCAAGAUUUUUUGGUCUACAUUGAAGGAUUUUAGGUGGAAUAUUCCUUUGAACGAACUUCUUAAGUUUAUGUUAAAGGAUGUUGGGUGGAAUAUACCAUCAGACCAACUUCCAAUGUCUACAGUAGUGAAUUUUAGGUGGAAUAUACCAUUAAACUCACCUUUUAGGUCUACAUUGGAGGAUUUUAGGUGGAAUUUUCUUCCAAACCGUCUUUUAGUCUACAUUUAAGGAUGUUUAGGAUGGUAUAUUCUUCCGAACCAACUUCUCAGGUCUACAUUUCAGGUGGAAUAUUCCUCCAUACUAACUUUUUUGGUCUACAUUGAAGGAUUUUUUCUAAACCACCCUUUCAGGUCUAUAUUUGAGGUUUUAGGUGGAAUAUUCCUUUUAACCAGCCCCUCAGGUCUCUUUGAGGAUUUUGGAUGGAAUACUCGGUUAAACCAACAUUUUAGGUGCAUGUCCAAGGAUUUUUGGUGGAUUGCUCCUUUAAGGUGGAUGUUUGAGGACCUUGGAGGUGGAAUACUUCCUGAAACCAACCUUUUAGGUCAACAUUCAAAGAUUUAAGGUGGAAUAUUCCUUUAAACUAACCUAAAUUUCAUGUUUUGAUCAUUAUCAAGUGAGAAAUCUCAAUCCAGACUCCUCAUAAUGACGUUUGAGAUUUAUGCUGCUGUUAUUUGUUUAGUCCAGACUAAAUGACAGAAAUCCACAACUGUAAUUUUAUUUCAGGACUCGGUUAUUAAAUGUCAAAACAAUCCAUGUGACUCUAAAAACUCAACAGCUGUACAAACUCUAAGAUUAAACUCUCCACAAGGAUCCAAAAUAAGUUGGACUUCUACAUGAGAGCUUUAAUUAUUCUUCAUCUACUUCCUGAAAAGUUUGGUCAAUAAAAAAGACAAAAACUAAUAUUUUCAGCUGAACUAAAGACAGGCUUUGUGAUUUUUCUGCUCACUUGUUUUGUUGUUGUAAACUUGCUCUUUCAAAUAAAUAUCCUCCUAACCCCCUGGAAA